CUACUUCAGAUCAGGCGUGGCGACCCGCCAAAUUUAAGCAUAUUACUAAGUGUAGGAAAAGAAACUAACCAGGAUUCCCUCAGUAACGGUGAGUGAAGAGGGAAUAUCCCAGCACUGAAUCCCCACCCAGGAGACAGCUGCAAGGAAAUGUGGCCUAUGAAAGUCCAUCUCCCCAGCGCCACCCAGGAGGCCCAAGUCCUUGUGAUUGAGGCUCAGCCCGUGGAUGGUGUAAAGCCAGUGGUGGCCCCCGGUGCAUCAUGAUCAGGCCUUCCUGGAGUCAGGUUGUUUGUGAAUGCAGCUCAAAGUGGGUGGUAAACUCCAUCUAAGGCUAAACACUGGCACGAGACCGAUAGUGAACAAGUACCAUUAGGGAAAGUUGAAAAUAACUUUGAAGAGAGAGUUCAAGAGGGCAUGAAACCAUUCAGAGGAAAACGGGUGGGGUCCACAUGGUCCGUCCGGAGGAUUCAACAUGGCAGCUGAUCUGCCUGCAUGGGCAAGGCAGAUCCCCCCGGUGUAUGGGGGAACCAUCAACAGGUGUACUGGCCACCGUCGGGCGCAUUUCCUCUCUAGUGGUAUGUCCCGACCGGCUCCAGUUCUGCCAGGAAGGCUGUGCGGAUGGUGGCUCCCCUCCCAGUAGGGGAAUGUUACAGCCUGCAGCAUCUGCCCUCACCAUGCCCCAGGGUCAAGGGAAACAACCACUGCCACACCCACUCCUGCCCUCACUGUGGGGGCUGGGAGCCCCCGGCUCCCGGUGGGACUGUCAACUAGAACACGUAGCUUCACACAGCAAUGAAAACUUAGCUUGGGAUUUUGUCUUCAGAAGUUCGUUUGGUGUCUUUUCCAUUGCGGACUGUCAACUAGGCCAGACUGCCCUCAGUGUGGCCCAACUGUGUCCUGCCACCAUGCCGGCUGGCUCACUUUGGGUACACGGGGUCUGCGGUGAUGUCAGUGACCCAUCCAUCCCAUCUUGAAACACGGACCAAGGAGUCAAACAGGUGCACAAGUCUGGGGAUGGGCAGGAGACCUCAUGGUGCAAUGAAAGUGAGGGCUGGUGAACACUGGCUGAGGUGGGAACCCCCUGCCCUAUGUAGGGGUGCACUGCUGGCCCAUCCCACCUAUGCCAUUGGGGAGAAGGAGCAUGAGCAUGCCUGGUGGGACCCAGAAGAUGCUGAACUAUGCCUGGGCAGGGCAAAGCCAGAGGAAACUCUGAUGGAGGUCUGUAGCAGUCCUGACAUGCAAAUCGGUCAUCCGAUCAGGGUAUAGGGGCAAAAGACUGAUCGGACCAUCUAGUAGCUGGUUCCCUCUGAAGUUUCCUUCAGGAUAGCUGGUGCUUGGCAGAUGCAGUUUUAUCUGGUAAAGCAAAUGAUUAGAGGUCUUGGGGCCAAAACAAUCUCAACCUAUUCUCAAACUUUCAAUGGCUAAGAAGCCCAACUCACUGGCAUGAAGCCGGGCGAGGAAUGUGAGCACCCGGUGGGCCACUUUUGGUAAGCAGAACUGGAGCUACAGGAUGAACCAAAUGCCGGGUUAAUGAGCCCGAUGCCGACACUCAUCAGACCCCAGAAAAAGUGUUGAUUGAUAUAGACAGCAAGAAGGUGGCCAUGGAAAUUGGAAUCUGCUAAGGAGUGCUUAACAACUCACCUGCCGAAUCAGCUAGCCCUGAAAAAUGGAUGGCGCUGGAGAAAUGGGCCAAUGCUGGUGCUGGUAGCUGAUGGGGCUAUGCCUCAAUGAGUAGGAAGGCUGCCAUAGUGGCACUGAAGCCCAGGGCGAUGGCCCAGGUCGAGCCGCCGUGGGUGCAGAUCUUGGUGGUAGUAGCAAAUAUUCAAAUGAAAGCUUUGAAGGCCAAAGUGGAGAAGGGUCCAUGUGAACAGCAGUUGAACAUGGGUCAGUCAGUCCUGAGAGAUAGGUAAGCUUUUCUUUGUAAAGGGCAAGGGUUCCCUGGAAUGGGUUCACCCCGAGAGAGGGGCCUGCAUCCUGGAAAGAGUCACGGUUCUGUCAGCAUCAGGUGAGCUCAUGUUGGCCCUUGAAAAUCCACAGGAGGGGUUGUAAGUCUCGUACCAGGCUGUACCCAUAUCUACAGCAGGUCUCCAAGGUGAACAGCGUCUGGCAUGUUAGAACAAUGUAGGUAAGGGAAGUCGGCAAGCCAGAUCCGUAACUUCGGGAUCAGGAUUGGCUCUAAGGGCUGGGUCGGUCGGGCUCGAGCAUGAAGAAGGGCUGGUGAGCACUGCGGCUGGAUGAGGCUUCACCCUCUUGCCAUGCUCCACCCUUAUGGGGGGCUGGGGGAACAGCGGUGGUGACUAUGAACAUGCACUGGGCCCGUCCUGUGGAUCACCCCAGCUGUGGCAGGUGCUAGUCCCGACUGGCAUAAUGCAUCAUCCGACAGCUAGCAGCUAACUUAGAACUGGUGAGGACCAGGGGAAUCCGAAUGUUAAAUUAAAACAAAGCAUCGUGAAGGCCCAAGAUGGAUGUUGACGUGAUGUGAUUUUUGCCCAGUGCUCUGAAU